GUGCGAAGUUUCCAGCGGAGAGGAAGAACUCUACGAUGAGACCUCUCUAACACUAAAAGUUAAUGCUUUCGCAAAUUGAUUUAUUGGCCGGAUCGUAGAUCGUAAGUUGCAUAGAACCCCGGCGAAUUUUUA
rnacentral:snoRNA from 1 species